rnacentral:rRNA from 1 species
UACGAGAGGCCCAAACGUUAUUCGGAAUUACUGGGCUUAAAGAGUUCGUAGGCGGCGCGGAAAGUAGGACGUGAAAGCCCUCGGCUCAACCGAGGAAUUGCGCUCUAAACUGCCGUGCUUGAGGAACCUAGAGGUGAGCAGAACUGAUGGUGGAGCGGUGAAAUGCGUUGAUAUCAUCAGGAAUACCGGAGGCGAAGGCGGCUCACUGGGGGUUUCUGACGCGUGAGGAGGCGAAAGCGUGGGGAGCGAACAGG